GGAGGUUCUUGGGUGACCACCACAGAAUCACCCUCCCUCCUCUCUGGUUCUGGGUGCGUCACCCAAGAACCACA
rfam:Myotis brandtii contig257218, whole genome shotgun sequence.